CUUCAGCAGCCUUCUUUUAGGAUAUUUCUCAGACUAAAAUUACAGCUCCUGCUACACUAGUGCAACUCUGGCUUUUGUCAGAUAUUUUUUUUUUUUCAAACCAAAGCUUUGCAAAGUCUUGUGUGUUUUAGUUACCAAGACAAUUAGAUACUUAGACUUUUGAAAUAUUAAAAUCUGCCAGUUCAUGUCUGGAGAAGAAGGCAGCAGUAUCAGGAUUUUCCUUAAGGUACAGAAGAGUCUAGAGGUGCUUUUCUAGAAGCUGAAUGUUUGCCCCAAGCAAGAGCCAGGACUAAGGCAAGACACAGCUGGGUCUCUCCUGGAACGAAUUCCCACAGACAAACUCUUCACCAGACCAUCAACUCAGAAGGGCAAACGAGGAGCUUAUUGUGAAGAGUUUGGGCCAAACCACCCAGAGCUUCCUGUGCCAGGGGAGCUCCAUGGACCCACAAGGAAGAGGCUGACUGGAAGUUCACUUCAGAUUCUUCAUAACUCACAGCACAUAAAAACUGACUCAUGGUGACAAACCACUAGCUUGAAUUUGGGCUUCUUCCAACAAAAUACUUUAAGAUGAAGCCAAGUGGAUCUGGAAUGAAUUGUCCUUGCAGUUUCAGAAGCUGUCAUGGAGAGGCUCAGACCAAGAAACCCAGCAGGAGCCCUCAUAUCACCACACUAGAGACCUCUCCGUCCAUUAUUCCAACAAGGCUACUGGAAAAGUAUUUCUGUGCUGGAUCUGUCCAUAAUUUCUUUCAAAGACCCCCAGUCUCCUAAGUGUUUUGUAUAUAAAAAACUACUCCUCUACAACCCCGUAAGGUGAGCACUGCUAUCAACAUCCCCAUUUCAUAGAUGGGGAACCAAGGCUGGGAAGAAGAGGGGCAGAAAGUGGCUUUCCCAAGGUC
rnacentral:lncRNA from 12 species